GACGAACCGUGCGAACGUUGUUCGGAAUUACUGGGCGUAAAGGGCUCGUAGGCGGCCAACUAAGUCAUACGUGAAAUCCCUCGGCUUAACCGGGGAACUGCGUCUGAUACUGGAUGGCUUGAGAUUGGGAGAGGGAUGCGGAAUUCCAGGUGUAGCGGUGAAAUGCGUAGAUAUCUGGAGGAACACCGGUGGCGAAGGCGGCAUCCUGGACCAACACUGACGCUGAGGAGCGAAAGCCAGGGGAGCAAACGGG
rnacentral:rRNA from 1 species